rnacentral:rRNA from 1 species
AUUGAACGCUGGCGGCAGGCCUAACACAUGCAAGUCGAGCGAGCGGCGGACGGGUGAGUAAUGUCUGGGAAACUGCCUGAUGGCGGGGGAUAACUAAUGGAAACCGUAGCUAAUACCGCAUACCAUCAGAUGUGCCCAGAUGGGAUGAGCUAGUAGGUGGGGUAACGGCCCACCUAGGCGACGAACCCUAGCUGGUCUGAGAGGAUGACCAGCCACACUGGAACGGAGACACGGUCCAGACUCCUACGGGAGGCAGCAGUGGGGAAUAGUGGGCAAUGGUCGCAAGCCUGAUGCAGCCAUGCCGCGUGUGUGAAGAAGGCCUUCGGGUUGUAAAGCACUGUCAGUGGGGAGGCGUUACCCGCAGAAGAAGCACCGGCUAACUACGUGCCAGCCGCCGCGGUAAUAC